rnacentral:rRNA from 1 species
UACGAAGGGGGGCUAGCGUUGUUCGGAAUUACUGGGCGUAAAGCGCGCGCAGGCGGUUUUUCAAGUCAGUGGUGAAAGCCCGGAGCUCAACUCCGGAACUGCCAUUGAAACUGUAAAACUUGAGGACGAGAGAGGUGAGUGGAAUUCCCAGUGUAGAGGUGAAAUUCGUAGAUAUUGGGAAGAACACCGGUGGCGAAGGCGGCUCACUGGCUCGUAUCUGACGCUCAGGCGCGACAGCGUGGGGAUCAAACAGG